CCCUUAGAUGUCCUGGGCUGCACGCGCGCUACACUGAUGUGUCCAGUAAGCACCUAACCUCUUCCGAAAGGAACGGGUAACCCUUGCAAAGCACAUCGUGAUGGGGAUAGAUUAUUGCAAUUAUUAGUCUUGAACGAGGAAUUCCUAGUAAGCACAAGUCAUCAGCUUGUGUUGAUUACGUCCCUGCCCUUUGUACACACCGCCCGUCGCUCCUACCGAUUGAAUGUUCCGGUGAGCUCUUCGGACUGCGCGGUCUGCAGUUUCUGCGUUCCGUGCGGAAAGUUGCGCAAACCUUAACAUUUAGAGGAAGGAGAAGUCGUAACA
rnacentral:rRNA from 1 species